AAUUAAUAAAAUUGUUUUUAUUAAAUAUUUAAUAAUGAAAUUUGAAUUGAAUAAAUUUAUGUUAAUGUAGAAUGAAUUGAUAAAAUUAAAUUUACUAAAGUGAAUUAGUAUUGUGAAUGAAAUUUAAAUGAAUUUGUUAUAAUUAAAAAAAGGUAAUUUAAUUAAUUGUAUCUUGUGUAUCAGAGUAUAUUGAAAUGGAUUAAAAAUUUUUUGUUCUCGAAUUUAAAAGAUUUAAUUAAGUGUAUUAGUUAUUGUUUCAUAAAUAUUAAUAAUUCUUAAUUGGUAAUGAAAUGUUAAUCGUUUUUAAGGAUAUCUAGUUUUUUAAUAAAUGAAUUUAAUUCAGAGAAUAUAAAUUAUUUAAUAUUUUAAUAUUAAAAUAUUUUAUGUUCUUAAUUUUAGAAGGGAUAAACUUUUUAAAAUAAAAUUAUAAUAUAAUAGAUUUAGAGGAUUUUAUGAAUUUAGAGUUUGUUAUUAAUUAAAGGAUGUUAAAAUUUAAUUCUUAUUUUUUAUUAAUUUUUAAUUAUUAUUUAAUUUUUGUAUUAAAAUAUUAAGUUGAAUUUAAAAAUUUUAGAAUAUAUGAUUUAAUUAGUAAAUUAUUGAUAUAUAUUAAAUUAAUUAUUUUUGGUAUGUUAAUAUUAAGAAUUAGGCAAAUAUUUCGCUCACCUGUUUAUUAAAAACAUGGUUUCUUGUAAUUAUAUAUGAAAUCUGGCCUGCCCACUGAAAUUUUUUAAAGGGCCGCAGUAUUUUGACUGUGCAAAGGUAGCAUAAUCAUUAGUCUUUUAAUUGAAGGCUGGUAUGAAUGGUUGGAUGAGGUGAAUUCUGUUUUAUGUUAAUUUUUAUUGAAUUUAGGUUUUAAGUAAAAAAACUUAAAUGUAAUUAAGGGACGAGAAGACCCUAUAGAGUUUAAUAAAUGAUAUAAUUUAAUUAAGUUAAUUAAAAAUUUUUAAUUAUUAUUAAGUUUAUUUAGUUGGGGUGAUUAAAAGAUAAAAUAAACUCUUUUUUAAUUUUAAUAAUAUAAUUAGUUAUAUGAUCCAUAAUUAAUGAUUAAAAGAUUAAAUUACCUUAGGGAUAACAGCAUAAUUUUUUUUGAGAGUUCAUAUCGAGAAAGAAGAUUGUGACCUCGAUGUUGGAUUAAGAUUAGUUUUGGGUGUAGAUGUUUAUAAACUAGGUCUGUUCGACCUUUAAAAUCUUACAUGAUCUGAGUUUAAACCGGCGUGAGCCAGGUUGGUUUCUAUCUUUAAUAUUAUUAAAUAUUUUAGUACGAGAGGACCAAAUAUUUAAAAUAAUUUUUAUUUAAUUGAAUAUUAUUAAUUAA
rnacentral:rRNA from 1 species